rnacentral:rRNA from 1 species
UUUGGAGAGUUUGAUCCUGGCUCAGAUUGAACGCUGGCGGCAGGCCUAACACAUGCAAGUCGAGCGGAAACGAGUUAUCUGAACCUUCGGGGAACGAUAACGGCGUCGAGCGGCGGACGGGUGAGUAAUGCCUAGGAAAUUGCCCUGAUGUGGGGGAUAACCAUUGGAAACGAUGGCUAAUACCGCAUAAUGCCUACGGGCCAAAGAGGGGGACCUUCGGGCCUCUCGCGUCAGGAUAUGCCUAGGUGGGAUUAGCUAGUUGGUGAGGUAAUGGCUCACCAAGGCGACGAUCCCUAGCUGGUCUGAGAGGAUGAUCAGCCACACUGGAACUGAGACACGGUCCAGACUCCUACGGGAGGCAGCAGUGGGGAAUAUUGCACAAUGGGCGCAAGCCUGAUGCAGCCAUGCCGCGUGUGUGAA